UACAGAGGUCUCGAGCGUUAGGCGGAAUCACUGGGCUUAAAGCGUGUGUAGGCGGAUCGGUAAGUACCUUGUGAAAUCCCACAGCUUAACUGUGGAACUGCUUGGUAUACUGCCAGUCUUGAGCCAGCUAGGGGCUACCGGAACAAAUGGUGGAGCGGUGAAAUGCGUAGAUAUCAUUUGGAACGCCAAUGGUGAAAACAGGUAGCUGGGGCUGUGCUGACGCUGAGACACGGAAAGCCAGGGGAGGCAAACGGG
rnacentral:rRNA from 1 species